rnacentral:lncRNA from 1 species
AUGAUUGUUACGACAAUAAUAUUUGGGGCAGUGUUUUGGCAAAAAGGGAAGGAAAUAAACACUCACCGGGAUUUGUUCAAUGUGUUUGGAUCAAUAAAUGUAUUCUUCUAUGGCUUAUUCAUUUGCACAGUCUACACCAUAUUCAUUCUCUUUUCUGGAUUCCUCAUUCUAGGACCUAUUAGUGGUUCAAGAAUGAAGAUUGCUGGAAGAUUCAUUGUCAUUUAUUUUGUUGACUGGUAUAGAUGGUUAAUUGUGGUGAAGAUGUUACAAAGGUUGACACGAAGCCUGAUGGCACUUGCCGUGUUAAGGCAAAGAGUGAAAGUGAAUGUCUGGAUUUAA